GAUGAAGAACGCAGCGAAAUGCGAUAAGUAAUGUGAAUUGCAGAAUUCAGUGAAUCAUCGAAUCUUUGAACGCACCUUGCGCCCUUUGGCCAUUCCGAAGGGCAUGCCUGUUUGAGUAUCAUGAACACCUCAACUCUCAUGGCUCGCCAUGAUGAGCUUGGACUUUGGGGGUCUUGCUGGCCUGUGGUCGGCUCCUCUCAAAUGGAUCAGCUUGCCAGUGUUUGGUGGCAUCACAGGUGUGAUAACUAUCUGCGCUUGUGGUUUUCCAUCAGAUAACCUUCAGUGAUGGAGGUUCGCUGGAGCUCAUAAACGUCUCCCCUAAGCGGGGACAGCCCUUUGAAUGUUUGAUCUCAAAUCAGGUAGGACUACCCGCUGAACUUAAGCAUAUCAAAGCGGAGGA
rnacentral:misc_RNA from 1 species